AGAGUUUGAUCAUGGCUCAGGACGAACGCUGGCGGCGUGCUUAACACAUGCAAGUCUACGAGAAAGUGGUAGCAAUACUAUUAGUAAAGUGGCGCACGGGUGAGUAACACGUAAGCAAUCUACCCUUAGAUCUGGAAUAACUCCGCGAAAGCGGGACUAAUACCGGAUGAUGCAGCGGCAUCACAUGAUGAUGUUGUUAAAGUCUAUAUGACGUCUAGGGACGAGCUUGCGUCUGAUUAGCUAGUUGGUGAGGUAACGGCCCACCAAGGCUACRAUCAGUAGCUGGUCUGAGAGGGCGCACGGACACACUGGAACUGAAACACGGUACAGACUCCUACGGGAGGCAGCAGUGGGGAAUUUUGCACAAUGGGGGAAACCCUGAUGCAGCAMCGCCGCGUGGAGGAUGAAGGUCUUUGGAUUGUAAACUCCUUUCGAUCGGGACGAUUAUGACGGUACCGGAAGAAGAAGCACCGGCUAACUCUGUGCCAGCMGCCGCGGUAAUACA
rnacentral:rRNA from 1 species